AUGCGUAGGGAAGCUAGCGACAGAUCGAUCUAUCCUGGAGUAGAGAGACAGAGAGCCAUGCGUAGAGAAGCUAGCGACAGAGUAGAGAGACAGAGAGCCAUGCGUAGAGAAGCUAGCGACAGAUCAAUCUAUCCUGGAGUAGAGAGACAGAGAGCCAUGCGUAGAGAAGCUAGCGACAGAGUAGAGAGACAGAGAGCCANNNNNNNNNNUGGAGUAGAGAGACAGAGAGCCAUGCGUAGGGAAGCUAGCGACAGAUCGAUCUAUCCUGGAGUAGAGAGACAGAGAGCCAUGCGUAGAGAAGCUAGCGACAGAUCGAUCUAUCCUGGAGUAGAGAGACAGAGAGCCAUGCGUAGAGAAGCUAGCGACAGAGUAGAGAGACAGAGAGCCAUGCGUAGAGAAGCUAGCGACAGAGUAGAGAGACAGAGAGCCAUGCGUAGAGAAGCUAGCGACAGAUCGAUCUAUCCUGGAGUAGAGAGACAGAGAGCCAUGCGUAGAGACGCUAGCGACAGAUCGAUCUGGCGAGAGACAGAGAACCACCACUGGGGCCUUUGGGGACCUGACCGUAUGCUAGUUUCUACAUUCAGAUUUUUUUUAAUAUUCACUCCACUUUUCUGUUCUCCACUUUUCACUUCUUUUAAUGUUACAUGAGAA
rnacentral:lncRNA from 13 species